rnacentral:lncRNA from 1 species
UUUUGGAAGUAACAAGAAGGGAUGAAAUGAAUAUCAUGAAGAAGAGUGACUGCUUCAAGUGAGGAAAGUACAGGAUCUUCAAAUGAAAGGAUUGUAGCCUCCUCAUGCAGAAGAAAAAAAUGGAAAAAAGUCGGCCGGGCUCAGUCUCAAAUUUAUUUUACAUUCCUUCCAUACUAACUCUUCUCCUUGCAUGUAGACAGACUUGUGGCUGCUUUCAAUGACUUCUGAAAUUAGGUCAUUAAAAGUCAUACAUUCUUUGGCUAGUAAUCUUGGGUUACUCACUCAUGAGAGGCCAAGCUUUAUCUAGGAAGUUCAACUACUCGAGACUGUCAUGCUCAUAUCCUUUAGAAAUAUGGAACAUUCUGGGAGGCCGAGGUGGGCGGAUCACGAGGUCAGGAGAUUGAGACCAUCCUGGCUAACACGGUGAAACCCCGUCUCUACUAAAAAUACAAAAAAAUUAGCCGGGCGUGGCGGCGGGCGCCUGUAGUCCCAGCUACUUGGGAGGCUGAGGCAGGAGAAUGGUGCGAACCCGGGAGGCAGAUUUUGCAGAGAGCCGAGAUCGUGCCACUGCACUCCAGCCUGGGCGACAGAGCAAGACUCCGUCUCAAAACAAAAAACAAACAAACAAAUAUGGAGCAUUCUGAUAUGAAUAAGACACUUGCUCACUUCUCAAUUCCUUGGUGUCCAGCUCUACAAGUGUAUAUAGACUUCCAAAGAAUAUUUAAAUCCUUUAACAAAAAUGCCACCUAAGAAAAUAUGAAAUACUUCAGUCUGUCUGUCAGUGCUCACUUCCUGUCUAGAAACUUUCAGUAAUAAUUCAGGCAUGAGGACACCUUCCUGUGUGUGCAAAACCUCUCAUAUUUUUCAGUGUGGCUCCGGCACAAAUGAACCAUGUUCUUCGCCUAAGUCAUUUAUGGAACAUCUGCUUUCGGUUUAGCAUCAGGGGAAACAAAGCAAAGAAGAAUGACACUGAAGAAUCAAAAAAAAAAAUGAGCAUAAGACCCAUGAAGAUUACAGACACAUACACUCCUAAAAUUAAACAUUAAGCGGAAUAAAAAUAAUCCCAGAUUGUGUGCUAUUAAUCCAGGUCUUCCAAGAAACAAAUGCCAAGAUGGUAUUAAACAUGAAAUGAUUUUAAUUGUUUACAUGCCUGAAAGUAAAUAAAGAGGGUGCCAGCUAAGGCUGAAAAAGUCUUCAGUGAUAUAAAUUUUACCACACUUAAAGAGAGAGAGGAAAAGUUUAAGUGGAAGCUCCUACUCAGCCAUGCUGUCUAAGGAAGAUUUGGCAAAACCUUGAGCUAAAGUCAGCCAACGGAAAUCCCACCUUUCUCCAAAGAAUGGAUCUGCUUUACUAUCUUGCUUGGUCUUAUUGCUUUGUGACCUAGUAAUAUCUUUCUCGAGUGCAUGAAACAUCUCAGAAAUGCAAACAUCAAGGAAGAUACUAAUCCUUUCUUCCAGUUUCUGUGUGAGGGUUGGAGGCUGACUUUGGUGGUGAUCUUGCUCCAAAUUAUAGAACUACAUCCUGUCAUGAAGAGAAGUUUGUCUUCUCGAUAAAGCCAAGUAGCUAACAGAGAUGGUCACCCCAAUUACCAGAUGGACAUAAUUAUACUUGAAUGCUGACCUACAACAUUUUGUGCUGUGCAGAGGCUUUGAAAAUCAAACAACUUUGAAAAUACAAAGCACCGCGUGGAGGUUUCUUUGAUUUCUAAAGAAAUGCAUUUCUAAAAGUCUUAUGCUGUAAGGAUGCUGGAUGCGUAGUUUGACCAAUUAUGGCUCUUGAUGUCGACUGAAGUGGUCACUUGAUUCCUAGGGCCUCACUCUGUCGCUCAGGCUGGAGUGGCACGAUCUUGGCUCACUGCAGUCUCUGCCUCCUCCUCUUGGAUGCAAGCAAUUCGGCCUCCAAGUAGCUGAGAUUACAGAGAGGCUGAAAACUCAAGAAAUGUGGACUAAGUGUGUGGGCAAGUGUGUCACUGCUGACUAAAACUAUGAACAGGCUUUCUUCUCGAGUUGGCUACAUGGUGACUAGUGUCUUCAUGUUUACAGUCAAUCACGGAAGCCAGGAAGUUGAAUUAUCUUGAUUAAAUGGGCAGAGGACACAUGCACUACUGAAAUAAUAGAUUGAGGAAAAGUGACACCAAAACCACAUGUACUGAAAUUCGGGAAGUAAUAGUUUACCUGAAGGAAAUCAGAGUGCUGAUACCUUAAACAGUGUUAUGUUAUUCAAAUUCUGAUCGUUUUGUUGUGUUCCAAAUGUUCUGUGUAUGCAUUUCUUAAAUUACAAUUAAAAUGAAAAAGAGACAGAGUCUCACUCUGUCAUCCAGGCUGGAGUCCAGUGGUAUGAUCUUGGCUCACUGCAAACCUUUGCCUCCCUGGUCCAAGUGAUUCUCCUGCUUCAGCCUCCAAAAGUAGCUAGGACUACAGCUAAUCCUAGUGAAUCCUCCAUGAGGCCAUUGUUCUGAAUGGAAGAAGAGAGAUAUAUGCAAUAGGAAAAGGUGACGUGGAAUCUAUGAGAGUCCCAUGUUUAUGUAGCAUAUUGUGCCUACUGUAUCUAUUCAGGAGGGGAUUCUUAAUAUAAGAGAUACAUUUACAAAAUUGCUUCCAUUACCUACAAACACCAUAAAGAAAAGUAACAGUGAUGCAUAUGGACAGAACUGCAUCACCAGAAGUUAGAGGAGGAAAGCAUUUCCUAUCCAACUUUAAAUGCUGAGAAUGAAUAACCAGGAAAAAUGGUACAGAGGACAAAAUACCAACAAAAGUCUCCAAAAGUGAUGUGAAGAAAAUAAGGGGCUCAUCAUUCUAAAUUCUGCAGGAGAGCAGUAGAAGAAAUCAAGGGAAUCCCACAUUAUGUGGGACUCUGCGACUGUAUUGGACACAUAGAAUAAUCUAGGAUAAUCUCUCUGUCUCAAGAUCUUCAAAUGAAUCGCAGCUGUAACGUCCCUUUUGCCAGGGAAGGCAAUAUAUUCACAGAUUCUGAGGAUUAGGAAUGAGACCUCCUUGGAGCCAUUGUUUAACCUUUCAUAGGCUGGAUAAUAGAGUUUUGCAAACUCAAUUUGGGCAGCUGGACAGUGAUCAGGCAACUUUCCGAGUCCCUGACUCCCACCUAGACUGAGAUUCCAAUGCUAGGUGCCCAGAAGUUUCCAACCAAUGCAAAGGUGGCAGCUGGCAAGGGCCCUGUGCAGCAGUAAGGCGAGUCAUAGACUGAUGAGAGAUCACCAUUGGGAAUGAGCUCCAUUUGCCCACAACAGUGAUCGGCUGAUGGCUCCACCCUCUACUUAGUCGCUUCUGUUUCCUGUCCCAUGGAUUCCUCACCCCACACUAAUGCUUCCAGGAACAACUUCUCAAAUAAAUCACUUGCAGAUUUCUAGAUGAUAUGAAUUAUAUUCAGACCUGAAGAGAGGACAGAAAAAUUCUGGACUUCAAACUCAAUGCAAUGAUUGGAUAAGACUUUCGGAGUAACUUCUUUUGGGAUUGCGUAAGAGAUCAAGACUACAGACUUUGAGGUAAAAACAACCUAGAUUCGUGAGAAGAGGAAGAGUAAAAGAACUGCAGCUUUCCUCCCACUCUUAAGGUAUAAAUAUGAAGUCUAGGUCAUUUCGAGUUGGAGAAGCCCCAGCUACUUCAUAAGUGUGAUGCUAGUUUUGAAUGUGCAUUGAGGGACAGCUGGUGUUGAGAAAAAAGGAAAUUACCUUAAUACCAAUAAUUUCAGCACAGAUUGUCAUGUGGUUGGGAAAAUAUUUGAUAUGAAGACAUUGAAUCCACCUUCUAAAGAAUAACAAGAUAUAUUCAUGAAUGGAAGGAUUUGGUAGGGUACAUGAGGACAGAUAUAAAACUGCACAACCAAUGUUACACAAAGGAGGUUUAUUCUUCUUCACAAGAAAGUGAUGUGUAGAGAUAUUCACUGAAUUAUUGAAGAUUAUAUGUGGCAGAGUCAGCUUGGGGAUCCAGGUUGUCUAAUCCAAAGAUUGUUUAACCGAGAAACAAGGUCAAGGCAUGUUCUUCGAUGCUUGUUCAUUAACAGCUCUGCGGGUGAUGCUCCUAGAGAGGUCUGAUGUGUUGUGUGAUGUUCUCACACAAACUAUGUUAAUUUUUGAUCAGUGAUUGUGAGUUUUAAUUGUGUUGAGGUAACUAGAGAUUUGUUAAGUGGACGUUACUUCAAAAAGGUAAGUUGAAGCAGUAAAUGUUAAAACCAAGGAAUCCCCCAAAUUCUUGCCCUUUAUUUUUUGCAUGUUAAUUCCAGAAAAGAAAAAAAAAAAAGCUUGUGGGUUAACGUGGUAUUUAUGCAAGGCUGCCAAUGUAAAUAUAAUUCUGUGAUUUAAUUUUUUACUGGCAUGACAUUAUAUAUAUGUAUAAAAUGUGCAUACAUAAUAUAUACAUAUGUAUAUAUGUUAUAUAUUAGAUGUGUAUGCAUAUAUAAUAUAUAUUAGAUGUAUAAAAUAUAUUACAUAUAUAAUAAAAUAUUAGAUAUGUAUUAUAUAGUAGUAUAUAUAAAAUAUAUACAUAUCUAAUAAUACAUUAUAGAUCAUGUAUUAAUAUAUACAUAUAUCUAGUAUAUACAAUAUAUACAUAUCUAUUAUAUUUAUACACACAUACAUAUACAUAUGUGUAUGUGUAUGUCUGUGCCUGUGUGUCUUUUUGUCUUGCAAGCUCAAUCUUUAAAAAGAAGAGUUCGAGGAGGGAUGGAGAAGGAAGAGAGUGAUUAUAUAUACAUAUACUGUCCAUGUUUGCUUAGCUAGUAUGAAGCAGAAUCUGGAUUCAAAUUCAAGAAGUCUGAUUCCCAAACAGCCACCCAAUUAGGACCGCUUUGAAAACUCCGAGUCUUCUAUUUGAUAUAAGUAUAGCUCAUUGCCAUGGAAAUAAACAUAUGUUUCUUUUUUAAAUUAAAAAAAAUAUUUUUAUUUUGUUUUCAACAUUUAGCAUUUUUUUGCAUCAAAGUUCUAAGUAGCUGCAUGUCUGUUUAUAAUGUGUAUAUUUGUUGUUUGUUUUUCUGUUUUGUUUCUGUAUAGUUUCUUUGUUUGUAUCACUGGUAAUUUAAUCCCUCAUGCUAUGCUGUGGGAUUAUGUACAACAACACAACUUCUUAGCCUCUUCAAACCCUUUCACUGCAAGCUGCUUUUUUGUGCUUUUUGAAAGAAAAGGAAGAAAAACACAUUGCAUUUUCUUAAGAUAAAAUGAUACCUGCUUCUUCAUUUCCUCCUACUCCUUCCUAUUAUCUUUUGUAGAAAGAAUUGCUGAAUCUAUUGAUAUGUAAUUUUCAUUUAAUUCUCCAACAUCUUAUUGCUAUUUAAAAUGGUUUAAGAAAACUGGCUUAAUAUAGCCAAGAAAAAUUCUAUAGUAAUACUUGUCUGUAAUUUCUCUAUAUUUAAAUAAAAUAUCAUUUCUAUCUUGGAGGUUUGAUUUGGCCAUUUAAAAAUGCUAAUGUUUUAUUGUUUUUUCAAAAAAAUACUACAUGCAUGCUCAUAGUAUAAACAUCAAUGUUUCAUUAGGAUAUAUAGUGAAAAGUCAGUAACUUUACAACCUCUGUUUCAAACCCAACCAGUAAUUUAAGUUGUUUUCAUAACAAAGUGUUAUUAUUUAUCUUCUAAUACCUAUAAAAUAUUUAUUUACUCCCCAAAUUAAAUAGAGUGUUGGUUCUUCAAUGAAGGUAUGAAGUUACUUUCAAUUAAAUAUGCAGUUUGAUUAGAAGAAAAAAAAAUCCAUCAGAUCUCAGCCAAGCUCUUUUGGAUGAUUAUUUUUCUUCAAAAUCAAAUACACUAAAAUUUCCAAACAGUAACAGUUACAAUGUUUCAGUUUCUUUUAAGGUAGCCUGAACUGAGACACAUUAAGGUUUAUAUCUAAUUUCAUAGUUCUGUUCAGUAGGAAAUAAGUAAAUUAGUUUAAAGGACUGAUCCAUAUCAGGAGAUCAGGACUGGACAAAGUGUUAAUUUAUCUACAGAUUUUACCAGGCAGAUUGCCAAUAUCCAAGUUCAUUAGACAGGUCCUAGGACUAAUAAGAACUCUUGGGGGCUACAAUGUGAAAUACCUGAGUAUAUGAGUCAGGUAAAGACUUUAGAAAGUUUGGCUUCUACUCUCAUAUUCCCAGGAGUUGAAUAGAUUGGAGUGGAAAAAAUGUGGUCAAAAACUAGUGAUUUUGGAUUAGAAGUAGGGCAUAAAGCUCCUAUUAUUGCACUUGGGCAAUAUUAACUGGAUUGCAAGAAACUGUAAUAUGCAGAAACAGCAUAUUUCCCUUAGGGAGUACAUUUUGUUAAACUUAGUAUUCUUGCUACCUGUUUUGUUACCUAAGCUUAAUGGACCUGGCCCUAGACUUUAGCUUGGUGCAUGGUGAAAAUUGACCUUAAGCAACUGCAGCAUUGUCCAAAUAUUUGGUUUCACAUAGACCAGUUUUGGUUCUUGUUUCUGUGUGACUUUGAGGGGCUCUUUAAGAAAUCCAAGGACAAGGUGCCACAUUUAUUAAGGCCCCGCCAUUCACAAUGCAUGAUGCUAGAGCCUGACAGUGCACCAUGCUAGAGACUGAAGAGACAUAAAAAAAAGAAAAGGCAGAGUUCUUGCUAUCAGGUUCUUAAAAUUUUCUUUGUUUUGGUUAAAUUCUUGAUUGGAUUUUUUCACUAAAUGUUUGGCCCUAUUAAAAAUAAGUAAAGAAAAAAUGAAGGAAGAAUGGAAGAGAGGGAGAAUAGGAAAUGAAUGAAACAAAGCCAAGUAAGAGAUACGUCUACUACAGACCUGCAAGUUGGCAGUGCUUGCAGAAGACAGUUGACAUAUUCUAGCCUGGUUCACAUUUUCUGGUUAACUUUUGAGCAUAGAAUAAAGAAUAUAAUAAAAUGCUUUUUUUUUUUUUUGCACAAUGAACUUUAAACAAAUCAGGAGAGUAUAUUGGUAAUUUAGAGAAGUAGCAAUUCUCAUUAAAUCUGUUUUUCAUUGAAUUAUCAUGCCCUUAAAAUUAUAUGAUAGAUUAUUAUCUUCGGUAGUAUUAGUUUAAAUAAGAAUUAUAUACAACCAAAAUAUCAGUAAGGCUAAUUCUCUGAGACCAUAAGAGAACCAAGUCAAUAUCCCCAUAGCUACAUCAUAUUGAUCAUUCAUUUGAUUUAAGAAGAAAGAAGACAAAUAUGUUAGUGAAAGGGAGACAAAUGAGUAUGUGCCUGGCCUGGCCAAUUCCUGACUCAUUUACAGAGGAAGCUAAUAUAACUCUCUUACUCAUUUUAUGGGAAAUAUGAUAGAUCUGAUUAUAUAAUUUAUGCCUCCUUUCAGACUUCCUACACCCCACUAAUUGUCUCUUCCUUUCUUUUCUCCACCUUUUGCUCAGGUAUUUGGCAGUUAUUGCACUUUUUUGGAUCUUUUUUUUAAGGAUGUUACUAUCAAUCUUUUGCCUACAUCUAAAUGACUUACCUAUGAAGAAGAUCCCAUUUUUAGCCUUAAUAUUUGCAAAUUACUUGAGAGAUGGAGUCUCACUCUAUCACCCAGGCUGGAGGACAGUGGCACGACCUCAGCUCCCUGCAACCUCCACCUCCCAGGUUACUGAUGGAUCCGUCCUAAAUGCCAUCCAUCUCAAGACAGAGGCCCACAGAAGUCAAUGUAUCUUCAAGAUGGGAGUACCUGGAGAUGGCUGUAGAGACCAUGUAGCAGGAAAUGGUGACAGAGAAGAGCUGGGCCUCUGGUACCAACAUGCUUCCCCCCCGUUACAGCUAUGCGGGCUGAUAGUGACGCAAUGUGUGGUUUCAAUACUUCAUAGUGUCUUACUUCACCUCAGUAUAAAGUACUUUGAAAGCAUCAAGGAAAUGGUCCUCAAAAAAGGCUUAUCCAGUCAGGACAUCUGGUGCUGGCUCUGGAAUGAGUGGAUGAAGAUAAGGCCUUCCAGUAUGGAGGUGAUAAAAAUCAGGGAAGACAGGUAAUCACAAUGGAUGACAGACCAGGAUUCCCAGAUAUCUUGGCAUGGCUGGAACAAUGUACAGAUCAAACCAUGUAAAACUUAAUGGGUAUAAACCAACUCUUCACUUUGGUCUAAAAAAGUCCAUUUGCAUGGCUUCUAGUUAAAGGUGGACAGGCUCACUUUAGAAUCCUAUUAUAUACAAAGGAUUUAGGGGGUUUAGUUCACAAUGUGCUAAAGCCAUCUCACAGUGACCAUGGUAUGAGCUGUGUGAUUUGGUUUAAAUAUAAUAGAGAAUGAAGGACAAGGUUGAGGGUGGUGGUUACAGUCCUGCCUGAUUCUGUAGUGCUCAGGUGACCUUUGAAGAAUGAAGAAAGAAGUCAAAACCCCACACUAUUAAGACAUUGGAAGACUGGGAAUGUUUAUUUUCUGAAGAAUAAAAGAUGUAGGAAA